rnacentral:rRNA from 1 species
UACGUAGGGUGCGAGCGUUAAUCGGAAUUACUGGGCGUAAAGGGCGCGUAGGCGGUCACGUUAAGUCAGUUGCGAAAUCUCCGGGCUUAACUCGGAACGGUCAACUGAUACUGUCGGACUAGAGUGCAGAAGGGGCAACUGGAAUUCUCGGUGUAGCGGUGAAAUGCGUAGAUAUCGAGAGGAACACCUGCGGCGAAGGCGGGUUGCUGGGCUGAUACUGACGCUGAGGCGCGAAAGCCAGGGGAGCGAACGGG